CUGGUUGAUUCUGCCAGUAGUCAUAUGCUUGUCUCAAAGAUUAAGCCAUGCAUGUCUAAGUAUAAGCAAGUAUACUGUGAAACUGCGAAUGGCUCAGUAAAUCUGCAGUAAUUUAUUUGAUAGUACCUUACUACUUGGAUAACCGUGGUAAUUCUAGAGCUAAUACAUGCUAAAAAUCCCGACUUACGGAGGGAUGUAUUUAUUAGAUACAAAACCAAUGCCCUUCGGGGCUUUUUGGUGAUUCAUAAUAACUAAACGAAUCGCAUGGCCUUGCGCCGGCGAUGGUUCAUUCAAACUUCAGCCCUAUCAACUUUCGAUGGUAGGAUAGUGGCCUACCAUGGUUUCGACGGGUAACGGGGAAUUAGGGUUCUAUUCCGGAGAGGGAGCCUGAGAAACGGCUACCACAUCCAAGGAAGGCAGCAGGCGCGCAAAUUACCUAAAGCUGAUUCAGUGUGGUAGUGACAAUAAAUACCGAUGCGGGGCUCUUUUGGGUCUCGCAAUUGGAAUGAGUACAGUUUAAAUAUUUUAACGAGGAACAAUUGGAGGGCAAGUCUGGUGCCAGCAGCCGCGGUAAUUCCAGCUCCAAUAGCGUAUAUUAAAGUUGUUGCAGUUAAAAACAUCGUAGUUGAACCUUGGGCUUGGCCGUCCGGUCCGCCUCACCGCGAGUACUGGUUCGGCCGAGUCUUUCCUUCUGGGGAUCCUCAUGCCCUUCACUGGGUGUGCUGGGGAACCAGGACUUUUACUUUGAAAAAAUUAGAGUGUUCAAAGCAGGCAUAUGCUCGAAUAUCUUAGCAUGGAAUAAUAGAAUAGGACGUGCGGUUCUAUUUUGUUGGUUUAUAGUACCGCCGUAAUGAUUAAUAGGGUCAGUCGGGGGCAUCAGUAUUCAAUUGUCAGAGGUGAAAUUCUUGGAUUUAUUGAAGACUAACUACUGCGAAAGCAUUUGCCAAGGAUGUUUUCAUUAAUCAGGAUGGAAAGUUAGGGGAUCGAAGACGAUCAGAUACCGUCGUAGUCUUAACCAUAAACUAUGCCGACUAGGGAUCGGACGGUGGUUCUAUUUUGCCCCGUUCGGCACCUUACGAGAAAUCAAAGUUUUUGGGUUCUGGGGGGAGUAUGGUCGCAAGGCUGAAACUUAAAGAAAUUGACGGAAAGGCACCACCAGGCGUGGAGCCUGCGGCUUAAUUUGACUCAACACGGGGAAACUCACCAGGUCCAGACAUGCGAAGGAUUGACAGAUUGAGAGCUCUUUCUUGAUUGUAUGGUUGGUGGUGCAUGGCCGUUCUUAGUUGGUGGAUUGAUUUGUCUGCUUAAUUGCGAUAACGAACGAGACCUUAACCUGCUAAAUAGCCAGGCUUACUUUGGUAGGUCGCCGGCUUCUUAGAGGGACUAUCCGCUCAAGCGGAUGGAAGUUUGAGGCAAUAACAGGUCUGUGAUGCCCUUAGAUGUUCUGGGCCGCACGCGCGCUACACUGACUGAGCCAGCGAGUUUUCUACCUUGACCGAAAGGUCUGGGCAAUCUUGUUAAACUCAGUCGUGCUGGGGAUAGAGCAUUGCAAUUAUUGCUCUUCAACGAGGAAUGCCUAGUAAGCGCAAGUCAUCAGCUUGCGUUGAUUACGUCCCUGCCCUUUGUACACACCGCCCGUCGCUACUACCGAUUGAAUGGCUUAGUGAGGCUUUCGGACUGGCUCAGGGAGGUCGGCAACGACUACCCAGAGCCGGAAAGUUAGUCAAACUUGGUUAUUUAGAGGAAGUAAAAGUCGUAACAAGGUUUCCGUAGCCCGGAACAGCGAGUC
rnacentral:rRNA from 1 species